CCGAGGUCACAGCCCCUCCAGGCUGCGGGCAGGGCUGUGAGGCUGGUCCUUGCCAGCCCGGUGGCACGGGGCAGAAAAUGCCACCAGUGCAUCCCACAGUCACCGCUGGGCCAGCACAGGGGAUUUCGGGACAGGAAUAAGAGACUUGACCCCAAAGGAAUGUCCUGAGCUCUUUCUCUGGGACAAAACCCCUUAACCUGACCAGAUGCCCAGUGUCAGACAGCCUCAUGUCCUGGAUCGGUGAAGUGCAAGAGAGGGUUGAGGGGGUCACUGUCCCUCCAGACAGGAGCAGGGACAGGAGUAGGGACAGGGACAGGGGAGCGGGCAGGGACAGGCCACGGCGGCGGUCGCGCAGCCUGCGCCGCGCCGGAGGCUGCGAUCGGCGGCCUCAAGGUGGCACCGUAAGAGUGGGAACAGCGCGGCAGAACAAAGGCACAGCUCAGAGACCCAGCUCAGAGCCCCCAGCCCUGCUCAGAGACCCAGCUCAGAGCCCCAGCCCUGCUCAGAGACCCAGCUCAGAGCCUCCAGCCCUGCUCAGAGACCCAGCUCAGAGCCCCCAGCCCCUGGACAGGACAGGAGAGUCCCGGUGCCCCCGGCAGGAAUGGCAGCACUGGUGAGGAAGAUGGGGUCACGGUGGGGGCAGGAUCAGGGGCCUUGGGGCACCCAGAGCCCCCGGCCAGCACGGGCAGGACCCUCAGGAACUCCAGCGUGGGGCUCUGCAUGUCCCGGGGCCGUGCCAGUCACAGCUCGCAGGGGACGGGGCUGACGUAUGGGUCAAACACCUCGUGUCUCCAGGGAUUUUGGGGGGGAUUGUCACAUUUCUGUGUGUUUCUCCAGGCACGGGAAGGCGGAUGUGUGUGGUAUGGGGCUGGUGCCCACUGCAGGCGAUGGCAUGGAUCCACCCGGGCCUUUGGUGCCAGGUAUGAUGCUGGCGUUCCCAGCUCCCUCUCCCUAGUGCAGGGACCGGGUGCUGAUCCUGGAACGCAGCCCAAAGUCCCUGUGGGUGUGUGGUGCCCUCCUGCCCGGCUCCCCCGGCUGCGGGAGGGGCCCUCCUGCUAAUUGGAGUGUGCUGAGGAGGAGCCCGCUCAGCUCCGCCUGCCUUGACACCGAGACCUAAACUUGCUGUAAAACCAAAUGGAUACUCACACCCACAUCCACGAGGCUUUUAGUUCAGCAACAAGUGAAUCCAUCAAAGCCCAGCACCUAAUUUAAUAGCAAUAAUGAAAGGUGUGCGUCACUAUUAAUUUAAGCACUCCAACAUUAGCCUUGCACUUAGAAACCAGCAAGGCAAAGCUAUUUACAAAUGAAUGUACCAGGGCAAUAAAUUGAAAGGACUGGUCUGACCUGCGGUGGCGGCUUUCUUCAUUUAUACAUAGAUAUAUUUCUAUAGAUGCAUUUAUUCCCAUCUCUUUAGCGAACUCUCCCUAAUUAAGUUGAAGUGGCAGUGGAAGUGUGGCAGUAAGUGUGGAAAGAAGCUGCUGAAAACGUAUUUAAUUCAUUAUAAAUAAUCUUUGAUACCGCGAGGUUGCCUAAAGGUUUCAGUAUCAGAGCAGGACACCAAGGAAGGCCAAGGAGAUCAUCUGUGCACAGUGGGAGCGUCUGCAUCCCGUGGCUUGACGUCCUGGCUGCGGGGAAGGGGGAGCGCGGCCGGCGGAGGCUCCGGUGGCAGCGGCGGCUCCGGGAGCGCGGCGGCGGGAGCGGGCUCCCUAAUAGAGUCCCGGUGCUCCCUGACGAGACCUCGCUCUCCAGCAGGAGCGCAGCCCAGCCCGCUCAGCCCGCCUGCUCCUUCAUCUGCAGCUCCUGGGAGGAGGCUGAGCCGCCCUGGUGGGGCCCACGCAGGACCUGGGGGCACCGAGACCAUCCACACCUGGGCUGAACUCUUCUCAUCCCCGUGGCACACCUGGUGCUCCUGCUGAGGUCGGUUUGGGAGCAGAGACAUCGUGGAAGGAGCUCCAGCGCACUAAGCAGAUAUCAUGGAAGACUGUACAGGGAGGCGUGGCCUCGGUGGUGCAGGGCCAAGCUUCUGAAACCCAGAACAUAAACACAACAGGUGAGACCCAGGCCCUCCCUCUGCCCGGGGGCUGCUCUGCUCUGGUAAGGCUCAGGAAGUUUUCUCUGUACAAAAGCAAGGUGGGGGCUGGCAGAGGGUGGGCAGUGCCCCAGGGGGCUGCCCCCAGCCCCGUGGGGAACCAGGGCAGUUCUGUGAUAGUGUGUGCAGAGCUCCAGUGACCUGGAGAGAUGCAAGAAAGACACCUCUGGUGAAUUCAACCAGAAAUGCGGCUCUGGGUGCCAGCAUCCAUUCCCGUGUUCCCUGAUCUGUUAAGGAUGAACAAGGCCAAGGUAGUUACAAAUCCCAGUACAAAGUAGGUCUUAAUUUUUAUUGUUAAAGAAUAAUACUGAGAGCAGGUGAAGGCAUUUCUGAGUCCCCAGGGGCAGGGUGCCCCAGUGGAUGUGCCAGCCCCAGGGUGGCAGCAGCUGAGGGUCCCGGGCGGGAGGAUUCUCCUCUCCACCUCCAAGACGUGGAUUUCCAACCACUGUGCUGCCUUCAGCAAGGAACUUCCAAUAAAGCAUUUGCAAAGCUGAAAAGCACAGUUAAAUAAAAAUAUUUCUGAACAAAACAAA